UAGUGGGUGGUUCCUUUCUGGCGAAGGCUGAAAACCAGUGGAUGAGUCUGUGAUGCAUUCGCUGCGUGCCUGGUGGCUGUAGUUGUAGCCGACUACAAGACGCCCAUCCCGAUCCUGAAGGACGAUCGAACUCAGAACGCCUACGGCGAGUACACCUUCGACUUCGAGACCGGAAACGGCAUCAAGAGGCAGGAGGCCGGAAGGCAGAACGACGGACAGGAGUCUGAGGGAAGCUGGAGGGCUGAUAAUUCCACCAAGAAAACUUGAAGAUGCUAUGGCGACUAAGAGCAUACAUACUUUUAAUGACCAAUUACGAAUGCUGAUAUGCUAAAACUCGAAGGACUGUAUGGGAAAAGUAUUAGGUGGCAGCAGGCCUAGCUGAAGCUUCACCAUAUGUCAGCAUCCUCCAACAAGCAAUAUACCAACAACAAGCAAUAUAAAGUACUGCAAGUAUCAAAGUAGCCACAAGCAAGAGCAGUCAUUAUACCAAUGAUACCAUCAUAAGCAACAGUUACAAGAUAACUAUGGCAGCAAUGAAAAUCAACAAAGAACUAUUAUCAAUGAGUUGUGCCCAGGAAGCCAACUUUGAGUUUUCCAGCAAGACAUUAGGUACUACAGCAGCAAAACCAGAAUCCACCAUCUUACACAGAACUGUCAAGAAGAAGGAACACUCAAGCCACUAUAAGUAACUGCUGAUAAAACUGCUACUGGAAAUGUGAAAACACAUAAUACAUAAGCCACCAACUAAAAAGGAGAAUCUAAAGAAGAAAAAUUUGUGAGACAAAAUACAAGGACAGUUGGCAAACACAGUGGAUCAGGCAGCAAUUAAAGAAACAGUUUUCACCCCACGACAGAAGCCAAAGUAGCAGCAUUUAAUGCACGACUCACUCACUGGAAGAGAAACCAACUAUAUGCAUUGGUACAUAAAGGCCUCAGUAAAGCAUUAGCUUAUAACCGCACUAAAACCCAUGCUAUAUCUAUGUACUUAAAAUGGAGCUCUAAACAACAUCAACAUAAUGGAGUACACUCAGGAAGCCACCAACUAUACUCUCUUGUUUUUUUUCAUCUGUCCAGCCGCCUGUGGUGGUUUUGUAUGGUAACACUACCUCCUGG